UACAGAGGUGGCAAGCGUUGUUCGGAAUUACUGGGCGUAAAGGGCGCGUAGGCGGCCUACUAAGUCAGACGUGAAAUCCCCAGGCUUAACUUGGGAACUGCGUCUGAUACUGGGAGGCUUGAGUGCGGGAGAGGGAUGUGGAAUUCCAGGUGUAGCGGUGAAAUGCGUAGAUAUCUGGAGGAACACCUGUGGCGAAAGCGGCUCACUGGACCAUAACUGACGCUGAGGCACGAAGGUCAGGGGAGCAAACGGG
rnacentral:rRNA from 1 species